rnacentral:rRNA from 1 species
GUUGAUGAGAAGCUUGCUUCCUUGAUGCUUAGCGGCGGACGGGUGAGUAACACGUAGGCAACCUGCCCUCAAGCUUGGGACAACUACCGGAAACGGUAGCUAAUACCGAAUACUUGUUUUCUUCGCCUGAAGAAAACUGGAAAGACGGAGCAAUCUGUCACUUGAGGAUGGGCCUGCGGCGCAUUAGCUAGUUGGUGAGGUAACGGCUCACCAAGGCGACGAUGCGUAGCCGACCUGAGAGGGUGAUCGGCCACACUGGGACUGAGACACGGCCCAGACUCCUACGGGAGGCAGCAGUAGGGAAUCUUCCGCAAUGGGCGAAAGCCUGACGGAGCAAUGCCGCGUGAGUGAUGAAGGUUUUCGGAUCGUAAAGCUCUGUUGCCAGGGAAGAACGCUUGGGAGAGUAACUGCUCUCAAGGUGACGGUACCUGAGAAGAAAGCCCCGGCUAACUACGUGCCAGCAGCCGCGGUAAUACGUAGGGGGCAAGCGUUGUCCGGAAUUAUUGGGCGUAAAGCGCGCGCAGGCGGUCAUUUAAGUCUGGUGUUUAAUCCCGGGGCUCAACCCCGGAUCGCACUGGAAACUGGAUGACUUGAGUGCAGAAGAGGAGAGUGGAAUUCCACGUGUAGCGGUGAAAUGCGUAGAGAUGUGGAGGAACACCAGUGGCGAAGGCGACUCUCUGGGCUGUAACUGACGCUGAGGCGCGAAAGCGUGGGGGAGCAAACAGGAUUAGAUACCCUGGUAGUCCACGCCGUAAACGAU